GCCGGGCAUGGUGACGCAUGCCUGUAAUCCCAGCUACUCGGGAGGCUGAAGCAGGAGAAUCACUUGAGCUCGGGAGGCAGAGAUUGCAGUGAGCCGAGAUUGCACCCCUGCACUCCAGCCUGGGCGACAGAGUGAGACCCUGUCUCAA
ensembl:misc_RNA Metazoa_SRP Metazoan signal recognition particle RNA